rnacentral:rRNA from 1 species
GAUGAACGCUGGCGGCGUGCCUAAUACAUGCAAGUCGAGCGAACAGAUGAGGAGCUUGCUCCUCUGACGUUAGCGGCGGACGGGUGAGUAACACGUGUAUAACCUACCUAUAAGACUGGGAUAACUUCGGGAAACCGGAUCUAAUACCGUAUAAUAUAUUGCACCGCAUGGUUCAAUAGUGAAAGACGGUUUUGCUGUCACUUAUAGAUGGAUCCGCGCCGCAUUAGCUAGUUGGUAAGGUAACGGCUUACCAAGGCAACGAUGCGUAGACGACCUGAGAGGGUGAUCGGCCACACGGGAAGUGAGACACGGUCCAGAGUCCUAAGGGAGGGCGCAGUAGGGAAUCGGAGGCAGUAGGCGAAAGCAUGACGGAGCAAGGCCGCGCGAGUGAUGAAGGUCUUCGGAUCGUAAAACUGUGUUAUUAGGGAAGAACAAAUGUGUAAGGAACCAUGCACGGAUUGACGGUAACGGAUAAGGAAGCAACGGCUAACUACGUG